AGCACAUCACAUUGAAACACCUGUUCCUGUACGAUAAGCGAAGUUAAGCAACGUCGAGCCGGGUCAGUAGCUUGAUGGCUGAACUCUUAGGAAUACCAGGUGCUGUAAG